UCAAUGUUGAGGCUGCAACAGUCAAUGAUGAGGUUGCAACAGUCAAUGAUGAGGUUGCAACAGUCAAUGAUGAGGCAGCAACAGACAAUGAUGAGGCUGCAGCAGUCAAUGAUGAGGCUGUAACAGUCAAUGAUGAGGUUGCAACAGUCAAUGGUUGUGACUACUAGUUAUAAACUUUAGUAAUUCAAGACGAUCGCUUGAUGUGUGCAGCUCACACAUCAAGCGAUGGGAUGGGGGGCCGGAGUGUAUCCAGUAGUGGGCAUUAAGCACCAAACAUCCUCUAGUUGAAGUUAUUAAAAAAAAAUCGUGUGAAGUUGACUCAAGCCAAUAACUUGGCCACUCCAUCUUCCUUUACCUGACUACGUCUACUUUUGCUUCGCCUUCUUUGUAUAUAUAUUGUCAUGUCAAGUGUGUUGUGUAUUGGUUUCAUAGACCCCUUUGAGGGGUAAAUAUUAUUUUUAGAAAUGUAGAUUUUUCUACAAAUAAUGUCCUAUUAUCAAACUGCGGGUGCUUUAAUAUCUUUUCUUUUGCGAAUCUUCGAUUUUAUCCUCUGAAAUAUAUUGACAAGUUAUUUUAUGUUCAAUUUAAAGUUAUUACAUAAAAGUUGCCGUCUAAGAUAAAAAUCUUAUUUAGUUUUCAAAGUUUUACGUUUUGUUUAAUUCGAAAAUGAAUGGAGUUUUUGAGAUGUUAAUAAUAAAUAAACAGUUUGUACCUAU